GUUUGAGCAAUUGUCAAAUCAGCCAACAACUACAGCAGCCGAAGAAAGCACGAAGCUACUUUUACUUGCAACACGGGCCUGCACAUCCCAGUAUUUCCAUCCUGCUUCCUCUGCUAGCAGUGCAGGCUACACAGGUUCUUCAAGACAUCACACACCCCAGCCCCUUCCCACGACCCACAGCUACAGCAGCUGAAGCAAAUGUGAGGCCGCCUCCAUUCGUAAAUGCGCCCUCAACUCUUCCGCUCCCUCAUGCUACUAACCAUUGUU